rnacentral:rRNA from 1 species
AUGACGAGACAUACAUGUCAACUAUGGGCGUUGGCUCGAACAACUCUCAUUGGUCUCAAACCAAUGAAGCGCAUUUCGAUGAUCAUGAGUUUGAGAUGGACGAGGAUGGUGAGGGUAUCGUCGAUGCAACGAAAGGAAGAGGGGGCAACUACACCAUGGACGAAGACAUCUUGCUAUGCAAUACAUGGUUGCAAGUGUUGA